rnacentral:rRNA from 1 species
GGUUUGUUAGUGGCGAACGGGUGAGUAACACGUAAGUAACCUGCCUUUAAGACGAGGAUAACAACCGGAAGGUUACUAAGACUGGAUAGGAAACAAAAAGGCAUCUUUUUGUUUUUAAAAGACCUUCUUACGAAGGUAUGCUUAAAGAGGGGCUUGCGCCACAUUAGUUAGUUGGUAGAGUAAAAGCCUACCAAGACGAUGAUGUGUAGCUGGACUGAGAGGUUGAACAGCCACAUUGGGACUGAGACACGGCCCAAACUCCUACGGGAGGCAGCAGUAGGGAAUUUUCGGCAAUGGAGGAAACUCUGACCGAGCAACGCCGCGUGAACGAUGAAGUAUUUCGGUAUGUAAAGUUCUUUUAUUGAAGAAGAAAAAGUAGUGGAAAAACUAUAUUGACGUUAUUCAAUGAAUAAGCCCCGGCUAACUAUGUGCCAGCAGCCGCGGUAAGACAUAGGGGGCGAGCGUUAUCCGGAAUUAUUGGGCGUAAAGGGUGCGUAGGCUGUUAGAUAAGUCUAUAAUUUAAUUUCAGUGCUUAACGCUGUCUUGUUAUAGAAACUGUCUUGACUAGAGUGAGAUAGAGGCAAGCGGAAUUCCAUGUGUAGCGGUAAAAUGUGUAAAUAUAUGGAGGAACACCAGAAGCGUAGGCGGCUUGCUGGGUCUUUACUGACGCUGAGGCACGAAAGCGUGGGUAGCAAACAGGAUUAGAUACCCUGGUAGUCCACGCCGUAAACGAUGAGUACUAAGUGUCGGGGUAAAACUCGGUACUGAAGUUAACACAUUAAGUACUCCGCCUGAGUAGUACGUACGCAAGUAUGAAACUUAAAGGAAUUGACGGGACUCCGCACAAGCGGUGGAUCAUGUUGUUUAAUUCGAAGAUACACGAAAAAUCUUACCAGGUCUUGACAUACUCUGCAAAGCUAUAGAAAUAUAGUGGAGGUUAUCAGGGAUACAGGUGGUGCAUGGUUGUCGUCAGUUCGUGUCGUGAGAUGUUAGGUUAAGUCCUAAAACGAACGCAACCCUUGUCGUUAAUUGCCAGCACAUAAUGGUGGGGACUUUAACGAGACUGCCAAUUAAACAUUGGAGGAAGGUGAGGAUUACGUCAAAUCAUCAUGCCCCUUAUGAUCUGGGCUACAAACGUGAUACAAUGGCUGUGACAAAGAGUAGCUGAAACGCGAGUUUUUAGCCAAUCUCAAAAAAGCAGUCUCAGUUCGGAUUGAAGUCUGUAACUCGACUUCAUGAAGUUGGAAUCGCUAGUAAUCGCGAAUCAGCAUGUCGCGGUGAAUACGUUCUCGGGGUUUGUACACACCGCCCGUCAAACCACGAAAGUUAGCAAUGCCCGAAAGCAGUAGC